GUGGGGAAUAUUGGGCAAUGGGCGCAAGCCUGACCCAGCAACGCCGCGUGAAGGAAGAAGGCUUUCGGGUUGUAAACUUCUUUUAUGAGGGACGAAAAAAAUGACGGUACCUCAUGAAUAAGCCACGGCUAACUACGUGCCAGCAGCCGCGGUAAUACGUAGGUGGCAAGCGUUAUCCGGAUUUACUGGGUGUAAAGGGCGUGUAGGCGGGACUGUAAGUCAGGCGUGAAAAUUAUGGGCUCAACCCAUAACCUGCGUUUGAAACUAUAGUUCUUGAGUGUCGGAGAGGCAAUCGGAAUUCCGUGUGUAGCGGUGAAAUGCGUAGAUAUACGGAGGAACACCAGUGGCGAAGGCGGAUUGCUGGACGAUAACUGACGCUGAGGCGCGAAAGCGUGGGGAGCAAACAGG
rnacentral:rRNA from 1 species